CUCGUAGAUGCUUGUCCCAGUUAAGGAGGCACAACCCAUAGGUACUGCCACCAUAUGCUGGAAAAAUAAGCAGAAAGUUUCAGGUGGUAUGUAUACAAUAAGUUUUUGACAAACUUUUUGUUUUUGCCUUUUUGCAACCUGUUUUCAGAUGGGAUAGCACCAUAAUCAAAACAUUAAGCUAUAGUGGAUUUUGGAGCUCAAGAGUAUUUUCCUUUUUAACCUUCUUUCAUAGAACUGGCAACUUCAAGACAGUUACACAAACCCCUUGAAGCCAAAACAUAUACUUGAAG